rnacentral:lncRNA from 1 species
CCUAACCCAUGCCUACCCCUAGAUGGAGGAGUUGCAGAUUGAUGCUAGUUCUCACUUCGCCCCUGCUGGCUCCGAUUGUGCCUGUGAUCCUGAAUUAUGUUUUGGGCUUUUUUUUUUUAAUUAGGCUGGCCCAAAUGGUUAAAAAACCAUAUUUUUACCACAGACUCGGGCAGAGGUCCAGUUCCAUUCCACUCUCCAGACUUCUCACAUCACUCCCAACUUCACACUUCGCAGGCAAUUUCAGAAUCCAAUUCCUUCCGGUGAGCAACGAGCAUGAACGGUGUGCUGAAGCUAGAAGACCCCACUACCGCAAGGUGGAAGCUCGCAACCGCAACUCCCAACUGGUACAAUUGUGAAUUUGUAUCUGUGAAUCACUAUCAAUUUAUCAUUUCAAUUUCAAUUUCAAUUUUCAAGUAUGACGUUAAAUUGGGGCAUGUUUAUCGUUUAUGUUUAAUUAUUGGUGUUUUUUGAGUAAUUUGUUGUGCUCUCUCUCUCUCUCUCUCUGCCUAAUUUGGUACUAAUUUUUAGGGUUUUGAUUUUUGAAUUGCUUGCUUACAGCUUACUUGCUGUUUGGGGAUUUUGUUUAAAUUGGUUUUAUUGUGAUGUUUUCAGUUGGGCAAUUUAGAGAUUUGCGGUAUUUUUAGGUUUUAUUUGUAAAUAGUCCCAUUCUUUAGACUUUUAAGUUUUGAUUUAAGUUUUUAUGAAUUGUCUUAUUGUGAUUAAAGUUGGGCAAUUUAGAGAUCUGUGAUAUUUUUAGGUUUUAUCUGUAAAUAGUCCCGUCCUUUUGAGUUCUGAUUUAAGUUUUUAUGAAUUGGUUUUAUUGUGAUUAAGUUUAUAUGAAGUGUUUAUGGCUUUCAAUAAAUUGUGGAAACUGGAAAGUAAAUAAGUAAUGCUGUAAUGGGAGAAGUUCGAUAAGGAAAGGUGGGGCUUUUAAUAAAUGGUGGAAAGUUGGAAAGUUUUUAUGAUGGUUGAUAAAUGGUUGAAUUGUUGAUUUUUAAAUCAAUUCUAAUUGAAAAUGAAAUUGGGAUAUUUUGCAGAUUAUGGAACGAUUUUUUCAAUCGAAUCGAAACUCUAUACCUAGUUCUAGUCGUGCUUUUAGUCCCGCCGCUGCUUCUAGCCGAGCACUCGAGUUUUUAAAUAACACAAAGAAGUCUUGGACUCAAUUCAAUGUGGAUGAUCUUGUAUCUGAUUUUAGUGCAUUUACAUAUAUAUUGAACUAUAUUUUCAUAUAUAUAUAAUUUCUAGAUUUUAG